AGAGUUUGAUCCUGGCUCAGGAUGAACGCUAGCUACAGGCUUAACACAUGCAAGUCGAGGGGCAGCAUGGUCUUAGCUUGCUAAGGCCGAUGGCGACCGGCGCACGGGUGAGUAACACGUAUCCAACCUGCCGUCUACUCUUGGACAGCCUUCUGAAAGGAAGAUUAAUACAAGAUGGCAUCAUGAGUCCGCAUGUUCACAUGAUUAAAGGUAUUCCGGUAGACGAUGGGGAUGCGUUCCAUUAGAUAGUAGGCGGGGUAACGGCCACCUAGUCUUCGAUGGAUAGGGGUUCUGAGAGGAAGGUCCCCCACGAUUGGAACUGAGGACACGGUCCAAAACUCCGUACGGGAGGCA
rnacentral:rRNA from 1 species